GGGGAUUUAGUCCAGUGGUUCUGGUACCUGCCUCGCAAGCACAAGGACCUGAGUUCAAUCCCCAGUACCCCCA
rnacentral:tRNA from 1 species